GAUGAACGCUGGCGGCGUGCCUAAUACAUGCAAGUCGAGCGAAUGGAUUAAGAGCUUGCUCUUAUGAAGUUAGCGGCGGACGGGUGAGUAACACGUGGGUAACCUGCCCAUAAGACUGGGAUAACUCCGGGAAACCGGGGCUAAUACCGGAUAACAUUUUGAACCGCAUGGUUCGAAAUUGAAAGGCGGCUUCGGCUGUCACUUAUGGAUGGACCCGCGUCGCAUUAGCUAGUUGGUGGGGUAAUGGCUCACCAAGGCAACGAUGCGUAGCCGACAGGAGAGGGUGAUCGGCCAGACUGGGACGGAGACACGGCCCAGGCUCCUACGGGAGGCAGCAGUAGGGAAUCCUCCGCAAUGGACGAAAGUCUGACGGAGCAACGCCGCGUGAGUGAUGAAGGCUUUCGGGUCGUAAAACUCUGUUGUUAGGGAAGAACAAGUGCUAGUUGAAUAAGCUGGCACCUUGACGGUACCUAACCAGAAAGCCACGGCUAACUACGUGCCAGCAGCCGCAGUAA
rnacentral:rRNA from 1 species